rnacentral:rRNA from 1 species
CUCCUACGGGAGGCAGCAGUAGGGAAUAUUAGUAAUGGGCGAAAGCCUGAACUAGCGACACCGCGUGUGCGAAGAAGGCCUUCGGGUUGUAAAGCACUUUUAGAGAGGAUGAGGAAGGACGGUACUCUCUGAAUAAGUCUCGGCUAACUACGUGCCAGCAGCCGCGGUAACACGUAGGAGGCAAACGUUAUCCGGAUUUACUGGGCGUAAAGCGCGUGUAGGUGGUUCUGUAAGUAGGGCGUGAAAGCUCCUGGCUCAACUGGGAGAGGCCGUUCUAAACUGCAGGACUAGAGGAUGGUAGAGGAAGGUGGAAUUCCGGGUGUAGCGGUGGAAUGCGCAGAUAUCCGGAGGAACACCAGUGGCGAAGGCGGCCUUCUGGACCACUCCUGACACUCAGACGCGAAAGCUAGGGUAGCAAACGGGAU